rnacentral:rRNA from 1 species
UACAUGGGGUGCAAACGUUGCUCGGAAUUAUUGGGCGUAAAGCGCGCGUAGGCGGUUACUUAAGUCGGAUGUGAAAGCCCUCGGCUUAACUGAGGAAGUGCACCCGAAACUGAGUAGCUAGAGUACGAAAGAGGGUCGCGGAAUUCCCGGUGUAGAGGUGAAAUUCGUAGAUAUCGGGAGGAACGCCGGUGGCGAAGGCGGCGACCUGGGUCGAGACUGACGCUGAGGCGCGAAAGCGUGGGGAGCAAACAGG